GGGGGUAAUUUCUUAUCAAGAUAAAGGAUAUCGAGAAUCGGUUUUUCAGAGCUUCUGAAUGUGGAAAAGAGGUGUCCAGAAUGCUUGAAACUAACAAAGUUGUGUCCAAAUUUUCUGAUGGUAAAGAACCUCCAAAACAGGUGACAAAGGCUAUUACAUGGUACCGGUCGCCAUCUUCACAGUCGUCUUCAUUAAGAAAUCGCCUCACUUCAGCAUCGAGAGAUGAUGACUAUGAGAGCGAGAGAGACUUUAAUGGAGUUUUAAAUGAUCACAGGAAGUUACUCGUCCACCUUGGACAGACUGUACGCAUGGGAAAUGAAGCUCUAUGCUGAAGUGAAGGGAAAACCAUUGAAGGUACUGCUGCGUAUUCAGGAGACGUUAUACCGAUUGUGCAGCUUCAGGAUAUGAACAUUGUGCAAUAAACAACGCAGGUUGUUGGAAGCAGACUCGUGAUGGAAAGACAUACUCUGCCUGUGAUGCAAACGACAAAGUUGGAGGAAGAUUUAUAUAGUUCAGUUACAUAUUACUUGGAAUGCAUGUUGGACCUACAACUGCUGGAAGAGGAGAAUCAUAUUUGUUGAACAAAAGAGAAGAUCGGACGAUGGUGGUUGCUUGCCUUACAGAAGGUGUUCCAAUUCUUAUUUACUACUGAAAUAAGAAAGAAGUAUUUAUUUUACAUUUCAGGAAAAUAUUGCAGAGAAAUUUCUUCAAGAAGCCACAACAGCAACAUCAAAUUAAUUCCGGUGAAAUAGCUGAACAAGGAGCCACAGCAGCAACAUCAAAUUUUUGCAACGCAGCAACAACAUCAUAUUCUAAUACCACAACAACGUCAUUUCCAGUUGCAAUUGCAACCUCAACAAUUUCCACUACAGAUACAUUCAUGAAGCCAAAUUAGUUACCACAAGCAGUAUGGGUUUGCAAUUCUGAACCUAAAGCCAGGGAUUAUGGAGAACUUUAUGAAACUAGUGUUUGGAAGUAUCUGCAAGUUUUGAGUAAGUUUCUAUAUAAUAUUUAAGAUGAACUUACAGCGAUUUAAGUGCAUAUGAACUGAACUUGGGAAAUUUCUAUGUAUUCCAUUUGGUACUUAAAGAAUUUGUAUUCUUUUUUGAUGUGAAU